AUUGAACGCUGGCGGCAGGCCUAACACAUGCAAGUCGAGCGGAUGAAGGGAGCUUGCUCCUGGAUUCAGCGGCGGACGGGUGAGUAAUGCCUAGGAAUCUGCCUGGUAGUGGGGGAUAACGUCCGGAAACGGGCGCUAAUACCGCAUACGUCCUGAGGGAGAAAGUGGGGGAUCUUCGGACCUCACGCUAUCAGAGGAGCCUAGGUCGGAUUAGCUAGUUGGUGGGGUAAAGGCCUACCAAGGCGACGAUCCGUAACUGGUCUGAGAGGAUGAUCAGUCACACUGGAACUGAGACACGGUCCAGACUCCUACGGGAGGCAGCAGUGGGGAAUAUUGGACAACGGGCGAAAGCCUGAUCCAGCCAUGCCGCGUGUGUGAAGAAGGUCUUCGGAUUGUAAAGCACUUUAAGUUGGGAGGAAGGGCAGUAAGUUAAUACCUUGCUGUUUUGACGUUACCAACAGAAUAAGCACCGGCUAACUUCGUG
rnacentral:rRNA from 1 species